AACGAACGCUGGCGGCAGGCCUAACACAUGCAAGUCGAGCGCGCCCUUCGGGGUGAGCGGCGGACGGGUGAGUAACGCGUGGGAACGUGCCCUUCUCUGCGGAAUAGCCUCGGGAAACUGAGAGUAAUACCGCAUACGCCCUUUGGGGGAAAGAUUUAUCGGGGAAGGAUCGGCCCGCGUUGGAUUAGGUAGUUGGUGGGGUAAUGGCCCACCAAGCCGACGAUCCAUAGCUGGUUUGAGAGGAUGAUCAGCCACACUGGGACUGAGACACGGCCCAGACUCCUACGGGAGGCAGCAGUGGGGAAUCUUAGACAAUGGGGGCAACCCUGAUCUAGCCAUGCCGCGUGAGUGAUGAAGGCCUUAGGGUUGUAAAGCUCUUUCAGCUGGGAAGAUAAUGACGGUACCAGCAGAAGAAGCCCCGGCUAACUCCGUG
rnacentral:rRNA from 1 species